UGUUGCCUUUUCCCACAAGCCUUUUUUAAUCUGUUUGUUUGUUGCAGGAUUGUCGUACACUCGUGACUCGGCAACGAACGUCACGUCCACCGCGACGGUGGGCCUGGAGGGUUUUCCGCUGUCUAGGGAGUGUUUGAGGUUUGGCCACGGCACGCCACAAUCGACUUUGCGUCGCGUCGUUGCGCGUUUUGGUCGUUCUGCCGCUACGGUAUUUCAAAUGUCUUUCGCGUUUGUUUCUUUUAAUCCCGGCCAGCAUUUUUUCAUUUGUUUGUUUGUCGAAGGUUCGUAAAUGACGCCGCCGAUAAGCGCGUGUUUGUCUGACUCUAGGAAAUGUUAGUUUGACUCUAGUCAAUUCAACCAUUCUUUAUUAUUUUAUAUUGUGCGUGUGCCAUUUAGGUGUUAUGCAAACGGAUGAAUGUAACGAAUUGGUCAAUUUAUGUCCUAAUGAGACUAAAUCUAUUCCAAGAUGGCGCCCGCCUGCCCUCGUUCCGUUACGCAACAAACAUUUGCGCGUGUUAUUUUUUCCCGUUUUGGACCCUGCUAACCUGGAUCAUCUGUCCAAUGUGAGGUGAGUUGAUAAGGAUAAAAUUAAAAUAUGAAUUAUAAUCCUGAUAAAUUUAAUUUACUACAAUAUAAAAUGUUUAACUGUCAAACUCUACUUAGUAUGUAUAAAAUUAAAAUAUUCAUUAGAAUUCUGAUAAAUUAUCAUAACUUACUACAAUGUAAUAAUUAUAUAUUUUUUCAAACGUAAAACUCUACUUAGUAUGUAUAACUGUUGCAAAAAUAUCAUGCCAUUGGCACUCUACUCAAUGUCUAUUUUUGUUGCAAUCAUUUGUUUCUUUUGUAGCACUAAAGGCUGCCCAGCCAGCAAGCAGGAGGCUCUUGAGGAGCCAUUUCAGGGAUGUUGAGGACGCGGAGGCUGCAAGAGGAGCCGAAUGGGAAAACUAUCAUUCCAUAUCAAAAGGAGCAAUGGCCUAUCCAAAGGAGCAAUGGCCUAUCCAAAGGAGCAAUGGCCUAUCCAAAGGAGCAAUGGCCAUAUCCAAAGGAGCAAUGCCAUAUCCAAAGGAGCAAUGCCAUAUCCAAAGGAGCAAUGCCAUAUCCAAAGGAGCAAUGCCAUAUCCAAAGGAGCAAUGCCAUAUCCAAAGGAGCAAUGGCCUAUCCAAAGGAGCAAUGGCCUAUCCAAAGGAGCAAUGGCCUAUCCAAAGGAGCAAUGCCAUAUCAAGUCCAGAAUCUCAAGCGGCGCGCUGCAAAAGUCAACGUCUGGGGAUCAUGUGGCCAGGAGGGGGCAGUGUGGUUGCCUUUGGUUAUGGGUGCACGACGGAAAGGUUGCAGGUGUGGACAGACAGUGUUUGGGGCUCUGAUGGUUGCUCUUGCUUAAGAGGUGUGCUGUGGUUGUGGCUUGUCUGGAUCCAGCGUUGUCUUGCGCUUGGUUGCCGUUGACGGCUCACUUGGGGGAGGACGUGGUUACGUGGAUGGACACACAAAACGAAACUGCCAUAUGGCUUGUACCAUUUUGUCUUUUUCUAACUGUCAUACUUGCUGCGUUCUUUGUUCUUUGUUGUCCACUGUUGCACUUGAUCUAACCCUAAGCUACCACCACUGUGGUACUUGCGUACUUUGUUCUCCCCUAGGUGUUGGCGCGAGCGAGACAGUCACCUUUUGUGUCUUUUUCUAACCUACCACUAUUGUGCUUGAUCUAACCCUAACGUACCACUGCGUGUCCUUUGUUCUCUAGGUGUAGGUUCUUGGGACGAGCCGGUCCACGAGGAAGACAUAAUGAUGCGAGCAGCGCCCAACUCAUGGCAUGUUCUGCCUUUUGCAGGCCGGACGCAAAAGGGGGGGCGGGGGCGCACGGCCCGAUCCGACCCGGCGACGGUCACCAAGAGUAGCUAGCCGCUGUGAUCAAGUAAGCAAGUGACCUACAAGUUGGGGUGCUCUUUGAGUGUCUAACUUUUGUUUCUGUAUUUGCAGAUGGCGGCCGGGACGUGACACGAUCUGAUCAGAGGUGGACGGACGGCUGUGGCAUCGCUCUGAAGUAGCCGAGUUCUGAGGGAGGCCCGCUUCCCUGGAGACGUCGACCUGCGCAGCUUCAAUGUGUGAAAUGGAUUUUUUUUUUUUCUCUAAAUUUCACACCAGCGGUGUCCAAAUGUCUGUCUGAGGGCUGCAUACUGAAACAAAUUAAGAAUUCUUUGACACAGAUUAAAUCAAUCACGAAAUGUUGCCAUUCAUAUGUUGCCAUUCAUAUUUUGUGCUCCUGCUACAAAGGUGUGUUGUGUUGAUAAAGUUUCCCCGAAGCUGCCAUUUGGACACCCAUGGUGACAUGUGUAGGGCUGCACGUGUAUUGGAACACUGCCACAUGGUGGUCUAGGUUAUUGACAUGCACUUUAAGAAAGCAAAGACUUCUUUUUUUUAAUGUGGCAAAUGAAACCUGUUUUCUUUCUAACUAUUUGUAAUGAGUUUCGAAGAUGACGAGUCAUUGAUGCAAGUUAGUUAACGGAUCUCAUUGCGAUCGAAAUGUUCUUCUCCAUCCCAGAAUUUUGCACAUCUUUGCUCAAUGCAGUGGUCUGGCCCAGUACUGCCAUGUCACUGAUUUUCCAAUAUGUCGUGCAGCCCUGAUUGAGUGCCAAACGCGCAAGCGACGGCACGCGCAAGCGACGGCACGCGCAAGCGA